rnacentral:rRNA from 1 species
AGCAGCCGCGGUAAUUCCAGCUCCAAUAGCGUAUAUUAAAGUUGUUGCAGUUAAAAAGCUCGUAGUUGAAUUUCGGGAUCAACAUGUCGGUCGUGCCUCCGGUACGUACUGGCAUCGUUGAUUUCUACCUUCUGACGAACCAUGAUGUCAUUAAUUUGGUGUCAUGGGGAAUCAGGACUGUUACUUUGAAAAAAUUAGAGUGCUUAAAGCAGGCACACGCUUGAAUACAUUAGCAUGGAAUAAUGAAAUAGGACGUUUGACCCUAUUUUGUUGGUUUCUAGGAUCGACGUAAUGAUUAAUAGGGAUAGUUGGGGGCAUUAGUAUUCAAUUGUCAGAGGUGAAAUUCUUGGAUUUAUUGAAGACUAACUACUGCGAAAGCAUUUGCCAAGGAUGUUUUCAUUAAUCAAGAACGAAAGUUAGGGGAUCGAAGACGAUCAGAUACCGUCGUAGUCUUAACCAUAAACUAUGCCGACUAGGGAUCGGAUGAUGUUAAUUUUUUAAUGACUCAUUC